GCCAGGCUUGGUGGCGCACGUCUGUAAUCCCAGAGGCUCAGGAGGCUGAGGCAGGAGGAUUGCAAGUUCAAAGCCAGCCUUAGCAAUUUAGCGAGUUGCUAUGCAACUCAGUGAAACCCUGUCUCUA
rnacentral:sRNA from 1 species